UUCAAACCUAUUUCUGUUUUUUCGCUCAGCUGGAAAUGACUCCCAACCUCGUCCUUAUCACCCGUAUCAUUUAGCUUUCAGUUUUCUUUUAUCAAAAACAUUGAAAAGUGAAAACCCUAACCGUAUCUCUCUGAAAGCCAACCUACUGGAAAAAUCAUUCCACAUACAAGCUUUGCCUUCUUUUUUUUUUUUCAAUCUGUAGCAUACUAUGAACAAUCGAGCUUCUUUUCUCCUUCUCUUCUUUUAUUCUCCUUGUCGUGUCCACAGCUUGCUCCACAACUAGCAAAACCACCACCUCCCAUCACCACCGACAACAUCACCAGGGACUGGGAUUGAUUCCUUCAGAAUUUUGAGGGGGGUCUUUCGUUAUUUUAGUGAAAGCCAUUUCAUAAGUUCUUUAUCUGUUAUAUUUUGUAUAUUUUAACUUGAUUUCUUGAUUAAAUUUUUGAGUUUUGGUUUUUGAUUUUAUCCUAUUUAUUUUCAGAAAUGACAGGAAAAUGUAAAGGGUCUUUUUCAACUUUCAGAAAUGUAGAUGGAAGAAUAGUUCCUUCUGCAGAUGAUGAGGUAAUGGAGGUAGACGAUGUUCUUCUCGAUAUGUGAAACUGUACCUAUUGCAUAGAUGGAAAUCAAUGGAAAAGAUGAGGAGUUGUAACUUUGAAGAUUCUUAAACAUAAACAGAGUGAGAUAGUUCGUUUGGUUAUCAUACGAUCUAAGGCAUUGUAGAUCUGUGCUAGUCAUAGAGUGUUACCAACAAUUUCUAUUCAAGAACAUGCUAUGGUGUGUGUUGCACACUACUGAUUUCUCUGAUGGUGAAUUGAAAGAAGAGUUGUUCUCUGUUCGAAUUGCAUCCAUUGAGAUACCGGAAUACUACCUAAGUUGCUGAAUCAAUGUUUGGGGUACUCUUUCCUUCUUUGGUGCUGGUGUAUCUUAUUUGGAAACAAAGCUAGAUGCAGGAAGACAGAAUUGACACAGGAAGACAUGAUCAGACCUCCACUAGCUCUUGUCAGCAGCUGUACAGAUCUGGAGCAUUCACAGAUGAAUUUCCGAUCAUGUAUGCAGAAUUUCUUAUCCCCCUCUACUUGUCAUAAUUCUACUAGGCAAACUACACAAAAGUUUAAAUACUUUUCUUACUGGACAACUGAAUCCUCCUGCGAGUCUAUGAGCCACAGGGGAAGAGUACAAGUUUGUCUCCCUUUCUAGCUGGUACCUAGAUUGUUUCCACAUCUUCAUUGUCUAUCUCAAAGGAUACUGGGAUUACUCCCCUUGCAUAUUGUUUUUUGAGGAACUGAAGGGAGCUGUUGCAAGUGCUUUUGUUGAUUUUACUACGUCACCCAGCAGUGCCGAAUAUAACUGCCUCGUUAACGAAAUAGUGGAUCCAAGUGGGAUGUUAUACGAUGUAUAUGGAAUACUUCGGAGAUGUUUCCCUAGGUCAUAUGAUUAGGCGGCGAAAAACUUCUGUAAACAGGAGAGACCUAACUAAAAUGCAGAUUAUGGCAGUUUUAGUAGAUUGAAUGUUUCAGUUCAGAUUUUGAAGUGUGAUUUUGAGUUGUAAUUGCAAAAUGAAUGUAUCCUCUUUUGUUUGUAAUGUAAAACUGAAUUCAUCUUUUAAAUGCAAUGUAUACCUGAUUCCAGAUUCUAUUUCAGAUUCUGCUGAUUCAGUUCCAGAA